GACUGAUCUCUCAAGAGUUACUCUCCGACGGUUCUCUCUAACGGGUGCUCACGAUUUCCUGAGAUGGGCCAGCGAUGUUCGAGUGACCGGGAAUCUUCGUUGGUAGAGUUUUACGUCCGAAGAGGAAGCUUUGGUCUUCAUGCGAGACGCAUGCUUGCCACAUCCAUGGAGACGUUCCAUCUCCAUCGAUGACCGUUCGAUCGGAUUCAUCUCAGUCUUCCCUGAAACUGGCGAUGAUAGUGUAUAUUUGAAGAUUCAAAGCGCAUAUUGGGUAUGGAUUAUCUCAUGAGUAUUGGGGAAAGGGAAUAGCAACAAGAGCAGUGUCAAUUGCAGUACCGCAAGUGUUUAAUGACUUGCCUCGUGUUUUGAGGCUUCAAGCUUUUGUGCAAACUCAAAACAAAGCAUCCCAAAGAGUUCUCGAGAAGGUUGGGUUUCAGAGAGAAGGUUUGCUAAGAAAGUACAGUUAUGUCAAAGGUGAAAUCCAUGAUGUGUUUGUUUAUAGUCUCUUGUCCCCUGAUCUACUUCCUCUUCCAUAAUCCUCAAGUAUUAUGGAUUGAGAUUAUAUGUAGUCGUUAUAAAACUAAUAAUGUUGUAAUUCAAUAUAUAUUUGAAAAAACGAAUAUGGUUUGAGUGA